rnacentral:rRNA from 1 species
UGGGGAAUAUUGGACAAUGGGCGCAAGCCUGAUCCAGCCAUGCCGCGUGAGUGAUGAAGGCCUUAGGGUUGUAAAGCUCUUUCGGCGGGGACGAUAAUGACGGUACCCGCAGAAGAAGCCCCGGCUAACUUCGUGCCAGCAGCCGCGGUAAUACGAAGGGGGCUAGCGUUGCUCGGAAUCACUGGGCGUAAAGGGCGCGUAGGCGGACAUUUAAGUCGGGGGUGAAAGCCCAGGGCUCAACCCUGGAAUUGCCUCCGAUACUGGGUGUCUCGAGACCGGAAGAGGUGAGUGGAACUGCGAGUGUAGAGGUGAAAUUCGUAGAUAUUCGCAAGAACACCAGUGGCGAAGGCGGCUCACUGGUCCGGUUCUGACGCUGAGGCGCGAAAGCGUGGGGAGCAAACAGGAUUAGAUACCCUGGUAGUCCACGCCGUAAACGAUGGAUGCUAGCCGUUGGCAGGCUUGCCUGUCAGUGGCGCAGCUAACGCUUUAAGCAUCCCGCCUGGGGAGUACGGCCGCAAGGUUAAAACUCAAAUGAAUUGACGGGGUCAUAGCUGUUUCCU